UUUAACUCAAAAUUAAUAGAGGCACAAAUAUGCUAAUGCACAUGUAUAUAUACUCAACAUAAAAAUAAGAUAGACUUGAAAAUGACACAUGUUAGGAUUGAUUUGGUCUCUGUAUCAACUGGGAGUUUUGAGAGAGUUUAUUGUAUUCUUUGUACUUAAAUCAACAUGAAAAAAUACAAAAUAUUUAUGUGCACGCUUACUUGAG
rnacentral:misc_RNA from 1 species